CUGCUUCCCUCCGCCACAAUCUUCCACCAUGAUGUCCUGCCUCACCUUGAGCCCUGAGGAAUGGAGCCGGCCUUCUAUGGACCAGGACCUCUGAAACUGUGAGCCCCCAAACAAACUUGUCCUCCUUUAGAAUUUUUCCGGUCAGAUCUUUUAGUCACAACAGUGAAAAAGCUGAGUGGAACAGAGCCCUGGGGAAGGAGGAAGGAUCCCGGAAUGGGCAUCUCAGAGGAGUCGAAAUGUUCUGCAGCCGUUCAGAGGCAGAGCUCCUCUCGGGGCUACUCCAUGUUCCGGACCUGGGAGGAAACAAGUGCAGCGUCCUGUUGAGAGUUCUGCAGUGAGAGUGGUGUCCCUGGAGGACACCAGGUGUCAAAAGCUGAGGGCAAAAUGGAAGAAGAGCUGCAGGGCUGAGUGUCCAGGUGGGGAAGGAGACACACAUCAUAAGGUCAGAUGAGCGUGCUCAUGGGGCUUUGGGGCAAGUAGAGGGAAUGCUAUAGUGUAUUAUUAAAUGUCCCCCAAAGCCAUGUAUAUGGAAGGCCUGGCACCUAGUCUGUGGUCUUUGGGGAGGUGGUAGGGUGCAGUGGGAGACUGUAGGUCUGAGGCAUCUGGUCUUAAAGGGGAUUGUGGCACCCAGUCUCUUCCUCUUUCUCUCUGCCUCCCAGCCACCAUGAGGUGAACAGCUUCCUCCACCGUGCAUCCAUUCUGAUGUAAGUCUUGCCAGAGUCUCAAAAGCAAGGUGCCAACCACCCAUGGAGGAUGACACUUCCUAACUGUGAGCCUACCUUUACUCUUUUGAAGUUGAUUAUCUCAGGUAUUUUGUGAUAGCCACAGAGAACUGACAGACACAGUGAUGAAGUCUGAAGCAGAAUCUUUGGACUUAUUCUGGGGAUGGAUGGAUGGAUGGAUGGAUGGAUGGAUGCAAACAGGGAUGAGGCAUGCUCGGUGACAGGGGCAUGCUGAGCUCAAUGCCGAGUCUCCUGGUGCAACUCACCAUACUGAGGAUAGACCUGGACAAAAGCAAGCCACAGGAGGAAAGGGGCAGCUCCCACCAGGAGAACCAGGGUGAGGUAAAGGCUUUGGAUGAGUAAAUCCAAAAGUAAUCUCUGCCUUGUUAGUGCCACCUCCUGACCUGGGGCUCUCCUUUGAUUUCUAAGAGAUGCUUCCACUUCUGAUGGAUGCUACAGGCCAACUUCUUUCUACCUAUGAGUCGGCUGGCAGGGAAAAUGCACCUUCCUUUCCUUGCAGUUUUAUUAUCCUAGAAUUUCAAUAUUCUUGUGGUUACACAAGAAUACUCAAUUGGUUAUCACUGUAUAACCAAAAACCAAAUUUAAAUAAGUAUACCAGGUAAUUGUCUGAUUCACCAAUAUUUGGUAAGUGUUCUGAAAAACAUUUGCACUGUUCUCAGGCAUAAGAUUGCUCUGGAAAUUGAAAAAUGGAAGUGUUGAUUAAGAGUUUAGCAAGUUGAACUGCCCAACAAAAAGGUAUAUUGUUGGCCUUCUAUAUCAGUGGAUUCCACAUCCACAGAUUAAACCAAUGUCAGAUUUAACCAACUUUGGAUCAAAAAUACCCCCUCCAAAUUGCAUGAUCAUGAAGUAUAUACGGGUGUUUUUCAUCAUUACCCCUAAACAAUACAGUACAACAACUAUUUACAUAGCAUUGACAUUUUAUUCUAUAUUAUAUGUCAUGUAGAGAUGAUUUGAAGUGCACAGAGGAUGCGUUUAAGUUACCUGCAAACACGACACCACUUUACAUAAGAGACUUGAGCAUCCACAAAUUUUGAUACCUACAGAUAGGUCUCGGGACCCAUCUCCCAAGAACACUGAGCCCUUUCCUCACAACCCGCCCCCACCUCUACCUGCGCAGCCUUAAUAGCUGCCGUUGGCCGAUGGCCCUGAAGUGAGUUUGGCUAACACCCGCAGCUCCCAGGCGCUCCUCCUUCCCUGAAUGAGCCCACGGUUCCUCAGAAGCCUAUUACUUGGGGCAUCCACUUCAACUUCCACGGGGUCCCACUGUCCUGAGGAGGUCCCAGCGCUGGGAAGGAGAGGUGGAAUCUGCAGCCCUCAUUCUCUCUGUCUGCUGAGGACACUCCACCCUGUGUGUUCCCUGAUUUGUUGUCUAUCUGGAGCCACUUAUAAUGACCACGUGGAACCCCAUGGCCAUGUAGUUAACCUCCAAUGUUCCCUUCUUUAUCAUGCAGUCUGACGGGGCUUCAUUUUACUCUGGUCUUUUUUUUAUUCUCUUUCUGCGUUUCUAUCUUUAUUGAUUAUAUCUAUAUAACUCUUUUGCAUAAGAGGGCAGGAUAUGAAUAAGUAAAAUGUAAACAGAUACUUCCAAUACAGCUUGAUGGCUGCCGUAAUAAAUGCACACGCAGAGUGAUUUCAGGAUAAUGGGGACUUACAUGGGACUCGCUGGAGAAGAGCACAUGCCCCCCAGGAGGGUUUGAUGUACAUAAAAAGUACAUGUGUGUAAAGAUCCAGAUCUUAAAGAAGAUUUGCUGUGUUUAUGACUGCAAGGAAGUCUGCAUCUCUGAUAAAUAGGGUCAAGACAGACACAUGACAAAUGGGAAGGCUGAGGUCUCACCACACUAGACCCUUAAUGCCAGUUCUAUGAAACACAGAUAUUGUCCAAGAGAGAGAAGAAAGAUGGCGGCGUCAGACCUGCAGCUUAGAAAGGCCCUGCAUGUGUGAGGUAAAAGGGAGGAAAGAAUAAUUUAUUAGCUAUCGUAAGAAUAAUUUUUGAACAAAUGUUGUGUUGCAUUGUACAUAAUGCUGGGGUAGGUCCUUGGGACCCUUCCCACCCCAGGGACUGCACUCUAAGACACUCAGGCACACACCAGGGAGUGUCCUGCAGUGGCGUUACUGCCGUCAGCUUCAAACCAGGCAACGCCAACUGAAAAAUGAGAAAACACGUGCUGUUUAUGUCAUUGAGGCUGCACAGCAAUGGCUGAUCCACAACUUGCCUAGACCUCAGACCCAGCAUGGAAAAUAAAAAAUCAAGAAUCAAAAAUCAAGAAACACAAGAAGACAUGCUUGCACACAAACGGGAGACUCACGACGGCACUGUCCAGGGACACGUGUCAGAGAGAAACCAGGAGAAGCCCAAGGAAGGGAGCCUUCCAAAGCAGACCAGCCAUUGCUCCUAGGACAAGGAAAGAGCGUCACCCAGCAGAGCCAACCAGGACCUUCCGGAAUGACGGGAAUAUUCUUUCCUUUUCCCCAAGGGCUGCUCAUUUGCCUCUUGGUGAUACACUACUUAUGUGAAUUUUGUGCUCUUCUCUUGAGUGUUAUAUGUCGCAAUUAUUGUAAAUGAUUUUUACUAUGUGGAUGGGAAGAAAUAAUGGGAACUUUUACUAAGGAAAUGAGAUACUUAAAAGCAAGAAAGAGUAGAGUUGACCAAUGGAACCCAGAAGCCUGGUAACAGCAUCCAGAACAACCCUCAGCACUGCUGUUGAACAGUGGGUAGGAUGGUGGCUCCUCACCCACCAGGAUUGCAGGAGGGUGGUCGACUUUAAACUGCAGAGCAUUAGCUAAGUUGCAGACUCAUUUUAACGGAAGUGCUGGUCCACUAAGAGAUUGGCUGGGACAGGAGGAUCGCAAGUUCAGGGCCAGCCUCAGCAACUUAGCAAGACUCUGUCUCAAAAAAAAAAAAAAAAAAACCAGGGAUGUGGCUCA